CCUACGGGUGGCAGCAGUCGAGAAUCAUUCACAAUGGGGGAAACCCUGAUGGUGCGACGCCGCGUGGGGGAAUGAAGGUCUUCGGAUUGUAAACCCCUGUCAUGUGGGAGCAAAUUAAAAAGAUAGUACCACAAGAGGAAGAGACGGCUAACUCUGUGACAGCAGCCGCGGUAAUACAGAGGUUCCAAGCGUUGUUCGGAAUUACUGGGCGUAAAGCGUGUGUAGGCUGUUUCGUAAGUCGCGUGUGAAAGUCCCGGGUUCAACCCGGGGACGCCACAUAAUACUGCGAGACUAGAGUGAGGGAGAGGGGAGCGGAAUUCUCGGUGUAGCAGUGAAAUGCGUAGAUAUCGGGAAGAACACUCAUGGCGAAGGCAGGUUCCUGGACAUUAACUGACGCUGAUGCACGAAGGCCAGGGGAGCGAACGGGAUUAGAUACCCCAGUAGUC
rnacentral:rRNA from 1 species